rnacentral:rRNA from 1 species
UCGAGAAUUUUUCACAAUGGACGAAAGUCUGAUGGAGCGACGCCGCGUGGAGGAUGAAGGUUUUCGGAUUGUAAACUCCUGUCACUGCAGAACAAGGAUGUGCGUAUGAACAGUACGUGCAUUUGAUGGUAUGCGGAGAGGAAGGGACGGCUAACUCUGUGCCAGCAGCCGCGGUAAGACAGAGGUCCCGAGCGUUGUUCGGAUUCAUUGGGCGUAAAGGGUGUGUAGGAGGUCGGGUAAGUCAGGUGUGAAAUCUCAGAGCUUAACUCUGAAACUGCGCUUGAUACUGCUCGGCUAGAGGAUCGGAGGGGGUAACGGAAUUUAUGGUGUAGCAGUGAAAUGCGUAGAUAUCAUAAGGAACACCGGUGGCGAAGGCGGUUACCUGGAAGAUUCCUGACUCUGAAACACGAAAGCCAGGGGAGCAAACGGGAUUAGAUACCCCCGUAGUCC